rnacentral:rRNA from 1 species
AUAUUGGGCAAUGGACGCAAGUCUGACCCAGCCAUGCCGCGUGGAGGAUGAAGGUCCUCUGGAUUGUAAACUUCUUUUAUCUGAGAAGAAACCCAAGAUUUCUAUUUUGGUUGACGGUACCAGAUGAAUAAGCACCGGCUAACUCCGUGCCAGCAGCCGCGGUAAUACGGAGGGUGCAAGCGUUAUCCGGAUUCACUGGGUUUAAAGGGUGCGUAGGUGGGUUGGUAAGUCCGUGGUGAAAUCCCCAAGCUUAACUUGGGAACUGCCGUGGAUACUAUCAAUCUUGAAUAUCGUGGAGGUAAGCGGAAUAUGUCAUGUAGCGGUGAAAUGCUUAGAUAUGACAUAGAACACCGAUAGCGGAGGCAGCUUGCUACACGAUCAUUGACACUGAGGCACGAAAGCGUGGGGAGCAAAC